rnacentral:rRNA from 1 species
GACGAACGCUGGCGGCGUGCUUAACACAUGCAAGUCGAACGAUGACGACCGAGCUUGCUCGGUCUGAUUAGUGGCGAACGGGUGAGUAACACGUGAGCAACCUGCCCUUCACUCUGGGAUAACCUCGGGAAAUCGGGGCUAAUACCGGAUAUGAGCUCCUGUCGCAUGGCGGGUGUUGGAAAGUUUUUCGGUGAAGGAUGGGCUCGCGGCCUAUCAGUUUGUUGGUGAGGUAGUGGCUCACCAAGGCGAUGACGGGUAGCCGGCCUGAGAGGGCGACCGGCCACACUGGGACUGAGACACGGCCCAGACUCCUACGGGAGGCAGCAGUGGGGAAUAUUGCACAAUGGGCGAAAGCCUGAUGCAGCGACGCCGCGUGAGGGAUGACGGCCUUCGGGUUGUAAACCUCCUUCAGCAGGGAAGAAGCGAAAGUGACGGUACCUGCAGAAGAAGCGCCGGCUAACUACGUG